rnacentral:tRNA from 1 species
GGUCCCUUAGCUCAGCUGGAUAGAGCAACUGACUUCUAAUCAGUAGGUCGGAGGUUCGAAUCCUCCAGGGAUCGCCA